CAGUCGCCACGGGAAUACGGAGGGGGCUAGCGUUGUUCGGAAUUACUGGGCGUAAAGCGUACGUAGGCGGUUUUGUAAGUUAGAGGUGAAAGCCCGGAGCUCAACUCCGGAAUUGCCUUUAAGACUGCAUCACUUGAAUCGUGGAGAGGUGAGUGGAAUUCCGAGUGUAGAGGUGAAAUUCGUAGAUAUUCGGAAGAACACCAGUGGCGAAGGCGGCUCACUGGACACGUAUUGACGCUGAGGUACGAAAGCGUGGGGAGCAAACAGGAUUAGAUACCCCCGUAGUCCCUGUCUCUUAUAC
rnacentral:rRNA from 1 species